UACGUAGGGUGCAAGCGUUGUCCGGAAUUAUUGGGCGUAAAGAGCUCGUAGGCGGUCUGUCGCGUCGGCUGUGAAAACCCGGGGCUCAACCCCGGGCCUGCAGUCGAUACGGGCAGGCUAGAGUUCGGUAGGGGAGAUCGGAAUUCCUGGUGUAGCGGUGAAAUGCGCAGAUAUCAGGAGGAACACCGGUGGCGAAGGCGGAUCUCUGGGCCGAUACUGACGCUGAGGAGCGAAAGCGUGGGGAGCGAACAGG
rnacentral:rRNA from 1 species